rnacentral:hammerhead_ribozyme from 1 species
AUCAUGUGACGAGUCCCAUAUAGGACGAAACGCGCGUCCUGGAU